rnacentral:lncRNA from 1 species
CCUCCGCUCCAUCCUCCCCUCGGACUAGAUCCGCCGCGCAUGUCCCCAUCAACCAGAUCGACCGCACCCUCCAUCCCAGCCCCGACUAUGCUGCAGAUCGAGUACGACAGCCAUGGCGUCGCGGCUGGCGGGUUCAUAUCCUCCAUGGUGGCCUCCUCCGCGUCCUCCGCUGCAGCAGCCAGAGAGCGGCGGGUCCAUCCCGUCCAUGGUGGCCUCCUCCGCGUCCUCCGCGGUGGCCACGGCCGCGGACUACACGUGCCGGGGCGAGGCCUUCGGGGCAGACAUGGUCCCUUCUACACGCCUCACUCCACCACUUGCUCUGCCUCCCCUCGAUACAAAUCCUCUCCUUCAUUCCCUCUCUGCUUCCCUCAUUUUUCUCUUGGUAGGAUUCGAUCUGGAGCAGCGCCCGCCCUCCACGGACGACGGCAUCACCAUGGAGAUGGAGCCGCUGCAACAUCACCAACUCACCCGAUGCAUGUAGUGCAGGCAAAAGAGGACGACGCCCAGCUACGGAAUUUGAGCGGCAGCUGCUGAAGGUCCCCUGGUCUAAUCAAUUUUUUUUCAUGUGCCAUUUCUUUUUGUGUUUGUUUCUGACCAGCGGACUUAUGGAUGAAUUACUGGAGAUCUUCAUCUGCCAAGUGUUGUUGAUUUACUUGUUUGAUUUCAGUUCACUGGCCAUGUCACCUGUAGGUUUGUCCUUGUUCCCAAAUGAGACGCUUGUGUUGUAGAUGUACUGGCACUGAGUUAAUAAGUCUGUGUACAGAUGAGGCUAAAAUGAUAGUAAUUUUGAUCUAAUAAAGCAUACUUUUGAGCAGUUGAAGGAGGUGACUUGUCUUUUCCAGUACUCCUUCCUUCCCGAUAACUAUCUACUGCCACGCUCUUUUGUUCAGUCAACUGUUUAGUUUAGAUGCGGCUUCAGUGCCAAGUUAUCUGUCGGAAAUAUGUCUUCACUGGUGUCUGGGGAGAUUAAGUGUCUAACUGUCAGCGCUAGCUGCUUGGACGACUGUUAAUCCAGUUCUCCGUGCUUUUGUACCUGUCUUGACAUUGAUAUCCUUGAUCGUUUUUUGUUGUAUGUCGUACUAGUAGUUAGUCGCCGCAGUAGUCUUGGUUGGCAGAUCGGCUGCUUCAUAUGCUGCUACUGGUGAGAGGGAUUGAGGGGGGGGGGGGAGAUGCUUCAUACACUGUUGAUGUGUAUGCACCCUGUUCCGUGCAAUGCGCGAGGCAAUUCACGGAUUGAGAUCGUUUUUGUGUGCUUGGAGAGAUUUGGAAUUUUUUUGCUCUGUUCGUCUAGAGAUGGAGCAUGUGUAGAUAGAGUUCAUUAGUUUUUGGUGUAUUCGUCUUCAUUUAGCAAAGUUCAGAAACACAAACAACAGCAGUUCAUUAGUUACACUAAGCAUUUUCCUGCCUAUGUUGUAUUUAGACCAAAAUUUGCUAAUAGACACCCCCUUCACAGAUCUGCUAUUUUUUGGCGUGCACAUAUCUGUAUGUCUUAACAGUUUCCAGCAGUUGUGUUCUUGGUGUAUAGUUAGGUGCAAUCUUCUGCCCUGAAAUCAUCAGGAAAUGCCUUUGCUGGAGCUCACCUAUGGCCUUGUUUGUCCUGCAGGUUAGUGAGCAUCAUCAGGACUUUUGAUGUUGAGUUGUUUGGACCAGGGGUUGAUGAGUUUCUUUGAAUGGACAUGUGAACCACAAUAUGGACAAGAGAUUGGCUGUGGUUUGAUUAGGUUGUGUUUUGGUUGGUGCAUCUUAUGAACAUGGUGUACUGAUACUAAGCUACUAGCUAUGUUAUUUUGGUUGGUGCAUCUUAUGAACUUGUGGUGUAAUGAUAUUGUUGGGCCUAAGUUAAUGAAAUCUUGGAGAAUUGUAUUAUUAUUAUCAUUUUAUUCUCCUGUAUUGGUUGACUGGCAAACUGUGGAAUGAAUUUUUUUGAGCUACUGUUGGUUAUUGGCUGGACCAAAAAUAUUAAAUUG